UAAGGAAUAUUGCGCAAUGGGCGAAAGCCUGACGCAGCGACGCCGCGUGGGGGAUGAAGGUCUUCGGAUUGUAAACCCCUUUCGGGAGGGAAGAUGGGAUGGGGUAACCCAUUCGGACGGUACCUCCAGAAGCAGCCACGGCUAACUUCGUG
rnacentral:rRNA from 1 species